UACGUAGGGGGCUAGCGUUGUUCGGAAUUACUGGGCGUAAAGCGCGUGUAGGCGGUUGUCCAAGUUGGAUGUGAAAGCCUUGAGCUCAACUCAAGAAAUGCAUUCAGGACUGGAUGACUAGAGGACCGGAGAGGAUAGUGGAAUUCCCAGUGUAGUGGUGAAAUACGUAGAGAUUGGGAAGAACACCAGUGGCGAAGGCGGCUAUCUGGACGGUUUCUGACGCUAAGACGCGAAAGCGUGGGGAGCAAACAGG
rnacentral:rRNA from 1 species